CCCACCAUAGUUUACUUAAAACUUUGACUUGCAAAAUCAAAAACGGAAAAAUUUCCUGGUGUGU
rnacentral:tRNA from 2 species